UACGGAGGGAGCUAGCGUUGUUCGGAAUUACUGGGCGUAAAGCGUGCGUAGGCGGCUUUGUAAGUUAGAGGUGAAAGCCCGGAGCUCAACUCCGGAACUGCCUUUAAAACUGCAUCGCUUGAAUCCGGGAGAGGUGAGUGGAAUUCCGAGUGUAGAGGUGAAAUUCGUAGAUAUUCGGAAGAACACCAGUGGCGAAGGCGGCUCACUGGACUGGUAUUGACGCUGAGGUGCGAAAGCGUGGGGAGCAAACAGG
rnacentral:rRNA from 1 species